rnacentral:rRNA from 1 species
CCUACGGGUGGCAGCAGUCGAGAAUCAUUCACAAUGGGGGCAACCCUGAUGGUGCGACGCCGCGUGGGGGAAUGAAGGUCUUCGGAUUGUAAACCCUUGUCAUGUGGGAGCAAAUUAAAAAGAUAGUACCACAAGAGGAAGAGACGGCUAACUCUGUGCCAGCAGCCGCGGUAAUACAGAGGUCUCAAGCGUUGUUCGGAAUCACUGGGCGUAAGGCGUGCGUAGGCUGUUUCGUAAGUCGUGUGUGAAAGGCGCGGGCUCAACCCGCGGACGGCACAUGAUACUGGGAGACUAGAGUAAUGGAGGGGGAACCGGAAUUCGCGGUGUAGCAGUGAAAUGCGUAGAUAUCGGGAGGAACACUAGUGGCGAAGGCGGGUUCCUGGACAUUAACUGACGCUGAGGCACGAAGGCCAGGGGAGCGAAAGGGAUUAGAUACCCUUGUAGUC